AUGUAAUCCUCUGACUAUGCAUAUCGUAUUACUGAUUACGAAUACGAAUCUCCAAGAAUUUCGCUACGUUUUCAAAACGAUACACGCAUACAGGAAGUAUUAAAUGAGUUAAAAUGUACCUAUUCUACAAAUAUAUACCCCGACUUCUGUAUGAGCUUUCGUAACGUUCGGUUGUGUGACAGUUCAGUGUGGAAGUGAUAAUUCAAAAAAAACGCAGGCGGCAAAAACAAAAUAGGAACUACAUAAUAGAGAAAAACAAGAAGAAGGACAAGGACCACAUAGGACCAAAAAAAAAAAUAGAUCUGAAGUUGACAGGACACCUGGUUGUGCAUUGCCUUGAGCAAGACGCGCAUAACCAAUAACAUGUACUGGGUAAAUGAUUAAAAAAAAAUCGAAACCCAAAAAAAAA
rnacentral:lncRNA from 1 species